rnacentral:lncRNA from 1 species
GCAUGAUCUCUAGCUAAACAACGAGCCUCUUCAAUCAUCUUUUCUGAACCUCUUCAGCACAGCAUAUAUAGCCAUCUUCAUGAUGCAACAACGGAUAAUAAACAACGGAUUAUAGAAAACCUCAGAAUUUCACUAAAUAGUGCGGCCAUGGUUGAAUUUUGAAACUUAACCUCGCUCAUCUGAGGAGUACAGCUCUCAAGCAACAACAAUAGCAG